GUUUAGAGAGUUGCAGCACUGGAUACGACAAGGUGCAAUUAAGGGUUUAGAUAACAUCAUCCCGGGUUAACCGAGUUGUUAGAAAUCAUCACGUAUGAACAAUCUCCUAUUGGAACUCUCGAUCCUAACAGUCCGCCGAGUUUUCACUGGACUAUAAACUACGUAAUAGCACUUAGAAGCAACAACAAAGUUCUCAAUUUAACAACCAGCAGUUUCUCUGAAUAAGGAACAUUAUUGUCUACUUCUGGUCCAAUUACGUCGGAUUUAUUUCAUUUUCUGAGGUUGAGAAUUGUUUUCCUCCUCGAGAGAAUAAAUAAUCUCGAGUGUAAAUUAAUAAAUCCUUAGUGAAGUCUCA